GAAACUAUUAACACGCAGCUCUGAGAGCGUGAUUCAGAGUUUGAGCUGCUGGUGCGGCAGUUUGCGUGAUGCCCAAGGCUAAGAGAAAGACUCAGAGGCAGAAGUUCGGUUACAACGUCAACCAAAAGUGUCUGAACCGGAAUGCUCGUGGGAAGGCAGCGCCACAGAUCCAGUGCUCCCACAUCCGACAUGCCUGGGACCACACCAAAUCUGUGCAGCAGAACCUGGCGGAGAUGGGGUUGGCCGUGGACCCCAACGAGGCGGUUCCCCUCCGUAAGAGGAAGGUAAAGGCCAUGGAGGUAGACUCGGAGGAGAGACCCAAGGACCUCGUUCGGAAGCCCUAUUGGUAAAUGACCUAGAGGCAGAAGCCAGCCUCCCAGGGAAGAAAGGAAAUACCUUGUCUCUGGACCUCUCAAUUAUGUUCAUUACAUGGUGGAGAAUCACAGGGA
rnacentral:lncRNA from 1 species